UACGUAGGGUGCAAGCGUUGUCCGGAAUUAUUGGGCGUAAAGAGCUCGUAGGCGGUUCGUCGCGUCGGCUGUGAAAUCCCGAGGCUCAACCUCGGGUCUGCAGUCGAUACGGGCGGACUGGAGUUCGGCAGGGGAGACUGGAAUUCCUGGUGUAGCGGUGAAAUGCGCAGAUAUCAGGAGGAACACCGGUGGCGAAGGCGGGUCUCUGGGCCGAUACUGACGCUUAGGAGCGAAAGCGUGGGGAGCGAACAGG
rnacentral:rRNA from 1 species